AUUCCCUGAGAAGACUGUCACCUCCAUUCAAAGGCUGCAGUGGACCCGAAGGAGUUAACAGCUGGCUGAAUGCUCACAACUCCACAGGAUCCCACAGCUGGGCUCUGAGUCCUGCCCAAGAAGAAGAACUGAACACCACAUCUUCAUCAUCAAAUGCUGCCUUGCCUCUCCAUGUCUGCCACAGGGACCAUCUGUGUAGGAGGACAGGUCUUCAAUGGCGUUCGUGGCACAAUGGCAGCCUGAGAAACAAAGGAGAAGAUGACUGUGUGGCUGCCAGCGGCUAGAGCCUGCACCUCAGCUCCCAUAUGGAAAUCACACAAAGACCAAAAUCCUAGAGUUUCCAGGCGUGGCCAGAAGCAAAGCGCACAGAGGCACCACCUGCUGGAUAGCCCCCACCCCCAAAUGCGGGACCUCACUGUGUAGCCCCAAAUAACCUCAGAUUCCUGGUGAUCCUCCUGUCUCUACCUCCUAUGAACCAGAAGGACAGGUGUGGCCCACCUCGCCUAGCCAU